rnacentral:rRNA from 1 species
AUUGAACGCUGGCGGCAUGCCUUACACAUGCAAGUCGAACGGCAGCACGGGAGCAAUCCUGGUGGCGAGUGGCGAACGGGUGAGUAAAGUAUCGGAACGUGUCCAGUCGUGGGGGAUAACGUAGCGAAAGUUACGCUAAUACCGCAUACGAUCUAUGGAUGAAAGCGGGGGAUCGCAAGACCUCGCGCGAUUGGAGCGGCCGAUAUCAGAUUAGGUAGUUGGUGGGGUAAAGGCUCACCAAGCCGACGAUCUGUAGCUGGUCUGAGAGGACGACCAGCCACACGGGGACUGAGACACGGCCCAGACUCCUACGGGAGGCAGCAGUGGGGAAUUUUGGACAAUGGGCGCAAGCCUGAUCCAGCCAUGCCGCGUGCAGGAUGAAGGCCUUCGGGUUGUAAACUGCUUUUGUACGGAACGAAAAGGUUUGACUUAAUACGUUGGACUCAUGACGGUACCGUAAGAAUAAGCACCGGCUAACUACGUGCCAGCAGCCGCCGUAAAAC